GGAAGACGAUGGCGGUGAAUCAGAACCACACCGAUAACCACCGCGGGGCCGUCUUCCCUUACGGUGAAAGCGUCUUGAAGCAGAGUCAAGAUGUGAUGCUCUCCUUCCCACAGAAACCAGAGCAGUAUCUUUUUUUCAAUGGUAGAAAGAGGGGAACAUUGUUUCUUACUUCAUACAGGGUGAUCUUCGUGACCUCACACACAAUCAGCGACCUCCUGUCGUCCUUCAUGAUGCCGCUGAGUCUGAUCAGGAACUGCACUGUGGAGCAGCCGUACUUUUCCCCCAACUACAUCAAAGGCACCAUCACAGCCAUGCCGGAUGGUGGCUGGGAAGGACAGGCUACUUUUAAAUUAGUCUUCUGGAGUGGAGGUGCCAUCGAAUUUUCCCAUUUGAUGACGCAAGCUGCCUCUGCUGCUGCCAGAGGAAUUCCAUUGGGAAUUGUAAAUUAUUGGCAGGAUGGACCCGUCCUGUAUGUGGUAGUUCCUAGACAGACGAACGCACCACGUACCCAAGAGAGCCCUAGCCCAGCUGCUUUCUAUUCAUCUGCACCCAUGAGAGUGCCCCUUACAGAAUAUGGACAACCAGCUGUGAGCCAUAGAGCCCAGUCUGUGAGAAAUGAACCCCCGCUUCAGGAAUAUGGACCACCAUCUGUGGAGCAUGGAGUCCCACCUUCCGGAUAUGAAGCCCCGCCUCUCAGAUAUGAAGCUCCACUUCCUGAAUAUGAAGCCCCGCCUCUCAGAUAUGGAGCUCCGCCUCCCAGAUAUGAAGUCCCACCUCCAGGAUAUGGAGCUCCGCCUCCCAGAUAUGAAGCCCUGCCUCCAGGAUAUGGAGUUCCACCUGCAGACUACAGAGCACAACUUCAAGGAUAUAGGGCAACUUAGCCUCCUGGGCACGAGCUCAUCCCUCGUCCUCUUCUCAGGCGCAUUCUCAACCUUCAAGGAAUCCCUGAAGCUUCCCCAACUAAAGCAGUACCUAACAGUGAAGUUGUAAUAAGACAGAGGACUCAGGUUCCCUAGCCAUCGGGUCAGAAAUCAGCCGUGUGGAUCCAUCCCAGCCUUCGCCCUCGAGUGCCUCCCGGAGAGAGGAGUCACUGGGACAGAGUCAACCAUGGACCUCGAGAGAAGAAAGUGGGUUUUGAAGGUUCUGAAGUGGAUCGGGAAGAAGGAGUGCUGUCCAAGGCGAGGGUUGAUACACGUGGCCAGUAGUUUGAGUCAUCUAGGAGUGUACUUGGUAACCAAUAUUAAAAAGAGAGAGAGAGUA